rnacentral:lncRNA from 1 species
CUUGGUGCUGUGGAGACGGGCCGACCCAAGCAGGGCAGCACACAGGUGUCAUCACUGUAACUUCCUCUGCUGCGAUGUGCUAUUGCACCUAAGGUUAGACCCGCUCCAAGGUCAGCUCCUCUAAACCACCACAUGGUGAGCUGGUUUUGUUUGACUGUUGUUUGCUGUGGUUUCUCCCAAUGGCAGCAACUUCAGGGGUCAAUAACACAAGUGGCUCAGCAAGAGCCCUUACCUAUA